UGGGGAAUUUUGGACAAUGGGGGAAACCCUGAUCCAGCCAUCCCGCGUGUGCGAUGAAGGCCUUCGGGUUGUAAAGCACUUUUGGCAGGAAAGAAACGUCAUGGGUUAAUACCCCGUGAAACUGACGGUACCUGCAGAAUAAGCACCGGCUAACUACGUGCCAGCAGCCGCGGUAAUACGUAGGGUGCAAGCGUUAAUCGGAAUUACUGGGCGUAAAGCGUGCGCAGGCGGUUAGGAAAGAAAGAAGUGAAAUCCCAGAGCUCAACUUUGGAACUGCAUUUUUAACUACCGGGCUAGGGUGUGUCAGAGGGAGGUGGAAUUCCGCGUGUAGCAGUGAAAUGCGUAGAUAUGCGGAGGAACACCGAUGGCGAAGGCAGCCUCCUGGGAUAACACUGACGCUCAUGAACGAAAGCGUGGGGAGCAAACAGG
rnacentral:rRNA from 1 species